AACUCAAAUACAAAGAUUAUGUGCUGGAAAUUUUAGCUUCACUGUUGCUGCAUUUAAUUUAUAACAUUAAAGAUAAAACAUCUGCAUUUUCUAAUUACAGAAGCUUUAUUAAGCAUGAGCUUGAAACUAUGACUUUCUCUGCCCAUAGAAACACAAAAUGCACAACUGCAACAUGUUUCUAUGUGCCUCGAUAUAUAUGGGACUCGAUCCUCUGCCUCUACGCAGAUGAAGGUUCAUAUCCCAAGUACUCAAUUGCAUCUGAUGUAUUUCAGUUAUCUACCAUGGAAUGUGAUAAGCUGCAGCCUGUAUGCAACUAUUUCUCCCCUCCUCUGAAAGGUGUCAAGCCUGUGAUAUCAAAUAUCAGCUCUGAUAAUUAAGCAGUUUAAAAGAUCUCACUCGAGCCUCUCUGAAAUGUGUUUGUGAAGCACUGGGAUGCGGCUGUUCCCUCCCCUACUCAGCACCAGCUUCCACCUCCACGUGUCCGCGCAUCUCAACCCAGAGCAAAACCUCUCAACUUUUUGAAACUGAGGUCCAUCUAGUGGAUACAACUCGAUAUUACAGCAGCGAAAUCCCCAGCUGCUUAUUAAAGGUAUGCUAAAAUCGUCUAUAUAUAUAUGUUAUUUUUUUUAAAGGAUAUAAGCUUAUUUGCAAAUUAUUCAUGCCUGCUAGAGAGUUUCUCUGAUGGGAUGCUUUCCUAAAGAAGCCUAUUGUUCUUGACAAGGUUGUAUUCUUGCUUUUGUUUCAGAUCCAUACCUACAUCCUGAUGAUGCUGGUGGCACUUCCUUCAAGUUCAAAAUCUGGACUCAGUUUGGUUGGCUUCCAGCGGAUAAAUUCCCACCCCCCAGAGGAGAAGUAGAAAUUUUGGAGAAGAAUGAUUGAUUAUUGCCUGAGAGAUCUGAACUGUGUAAAUGAAUUAAAGAUGCAGUUCUGCAAUUUCUUUCCGUUUCCUUCAGCAAACAUUACAGGGAAGAUUCCUGGGGGACUUGAAUGAAUCCUCUUGCUUGUAUGCACUAGAUCUUGCUGCCUAGGAGAUACACAACUGGCAUAUCUAUAGGCAGAGAGUACCCCAAUUGUGUCUAAAAAUAGGAACUCUGUGAAAUACAAAGGGAUAAACUUGAAAUAGUGUGAUUAACAAACAGAUUUUCAAUCAUUUUUACUUAAGAAGAAGAGUUGAGAAUAUCCUGAGUCCUUUGUCAUCUUGACUGCAGUAAACCAUUGAAGUAAUCAUGGACCACAGAACAGGAAAUGAAUCACAGAACUCUUUUCAAAAACAUGAUUUUGAGACUAUUUUAUCAAAAUUAUUCAAAAGUAAAGCUUUUUCCAGCAUCAAAUCAAAAUGUUUUCCUGCUAGAAAUGGGUAUGCUACAGCAUUUCACAUCAUCUGCUCAUGCCAGCAUGGAGGGGUGGCAUUGCUGCUGCCUGUAUGCUGAAGUCAUCUACUCUCCCUGAAGCCUCUCUUCACUCUUACUAGCUGAGUGAGUGAGUAACCGAUAGAUCUUUGUCUCUGGAUCACAGCCAACACCCUGAUCAACCCUCCUAACUCAUCUUGUCUACUUCAGUCAUUUAACAGAAAGGCCGUAACCACAGUGCAACUGGAAUGUGGCUGCAGGUCUUGCUUUGAUUGCCUCUGAGCAUGGAAUGUCCUGCUGUGCAUGCUCUUUUUCUCCUUAUGUACCAAUAUCAGGCUAAUUAAUUUCACAGUAGGCUGUGAUGCCCCUACUGCUUCACAUAAUGAGGAGGGCAGCUUUCCUCUGACCAGUAAUAUCUUUAAAAAAUGUAUAUUUCCACUUUGACAGGACACUUUCUUUCAGUAAGUUUUGUAUGCUUGUUUUAGCAAAGAAGUGCCACUGAAAUAGAAAAGCUAGAGGAAGAAUCUUCAGGCUUACCAACUCAGCAAUUCUGUUUGAAAAAUACAUUCUGAACGAGCUUUAAUUCAAACUGCCUUUUAAGGCCUCUUUAGACAAAAACAGUCAAUGAAACUAUAGUCAAGCUGUCAUCUGGGAAACUCAAAAGCAUAAUAAAUAGUGAGAUGAAUGGUAAGUGACA
ensembl:lncRNA